rnacentral:tRNA from 1 species
AUUUAAAUAGCUUAAAUUAGAGCAUAAUAUUGAAGAUAUUAAGGUAAUAUUAAUUUUUAAAUA